CAACCUGAACUCAGUCGUGAUUACCCGCUGAACUUAAGCAUAUCAUUUAGCGGAGGAAAAGAAACUAAAAAGGAUUCCCCUAGUAACGGCGAGUGAAACGGGAAGAGCCCAGCGCCGAAUCGAUCAGUCUUUGGCUGCUUCGAAAUGUGGCGUAUAGGUGUAGUCUUCCAGCAGUGUCGUAUGUCCGAAGUCCUUGCGAUUGAGGCCAUAAACCAGAGAGGGUGCGAGCCCCGUUCUGGAUAGCGGCGCUGUUGGUUCGACUGCUCCUUGGAGUCGGGUUGCUUGAAAGUGCAGCCUAAAGUGGGUGAUAAACUUCAUCUAAGGCUAAAUAUUGACUCGAUUGCGAUAGCGAACAAGUACCGUGAGGGAAAGUUGCAAAGGACUUUGAAGAGAGAGUUCAAGAGAACGUGAAAUCGCUGGAGUGGAACCGGAGACAGUUGAUGUUGCUUGGAGACAAUCUUGGUGGCUGAUCGCUUAGCUGUGAUCGCCGC
rnacentral:ncRNA from 1 species